UACGUAGGGCGCGAGCGUUAUCCGGAAUGAUUGGGCGUAAAGCGUCCGCAGGUGGCAAUGUAAGUCUGCUGUCAAAGCGUCUGGCUCAACCAGAUAAAGGCAGUGGAAACUACAUAGCUAGAGUAAGGUAGGGGUAGAGGGAAUUCCUGGUGUAGCGGUGAAAUGCGUAGAGAUCGUAAGGAAGACCAGUGGCGAAGGCGGGUCUCUGGACAGUUCCUGACGCUGAGGCACGAAGGCCAGGGGAGCAAACGGG
rnacentral:rRNA from 1 species